UACGUAGGGUGCAAGCGUUAAUCGGAAUUACUGGGCGUAAAGCGUGCGCAGGCGGUUGUGCAAGACCGAUGUGAAAUCCCCGGGCUUAACCUGGGAAUGGCAUUGGUGACUGCACGGCUAGAGUGUGUCAGAGGGGGGUAGAAUUCCACGUGUAGCAGUGAAAUGCGUAGAGAUGUGGAGGAAUACCGAUGGCGAAGGCAGCCCCCUGGGAUAAUAUUGACGCUCAUGCACGAAAGCGUGGGGAGCAAACAGG
rnacentral:rRNA from 1 species